AUAUCAAUAAGCGGAGGAAAAGAAACCAACAGGGAUUGCCCUAGUAACGGCGAGUGAAGCGGCAACAGCUCAAAUUUGAAAUCUGGCUUCGGCCCGAGUUGUAAUUUGUAGAGGAUGCUUUGGGCGCGGCUCUAACUGAGUUCCCUGGAACGGGACGCCACAGAGGGUGAGAGCCCCGUAUAGUUAGAUGCCUAGCCUAUGUAAAGCUCCUUCGACGAGUCGAGUAGUUUGGGAAUGCUGCUCUAAAUGGGAGGUAAAUUUCUUCUAAAGCUAAAUAUUGGCCAGAGACCGAUAGCGCACAAGUACCGUGAGGGAAAGAUGAAAAGAACUUUGGAAAGAGAGUUAAACAGUACGUGAAAUUGUUGAAAGGGAAACGCUUGAAGUCAGUCGCGUCUGCUGGGACUCAACCUUGCUUUUGCCUGGUGUACUUCUCAGUAGAUGGGCCAGCAUCAAUUUCGGGUGCCGGAAAAGGAUUUGAGGAAUGUGACAGCUUGCUGUGUUAUAGCCUCUUGUCGUACACGGUGCUUGGGAUUGAGGACUGCAGCACGCCUUUUGGUCGGGGUUCUCCCACGCCACGUGCUUAGGAUGCUGGCGUAAUGGCUUUAAACGA
rnacentral:rRNA from 1 species